CUUAACUAAAGGAAACACAAGUGAAACAUUAGUGCAGCCUUCUCCAAUACAGCCUGCUGCAGCUGGUGGACUACAACUCCUAUCGACAUGGUUGGAGAAGACAAUGGAGUUGUAGACCACCAACAUUUGAAAGUCACCUAGCUGAGGUAGCUUGCAUUAGAGAAAGGCCUCUGGGGCAGAAGGUAGAUUUUUCAGACUGAAGAUACCAUGAUGGAAGCAUGCUUGCUGUGUUGCUGCCCACUAAUCCCAGUAUCAUCGCAGGUUUUAAGCUAGGGUUUCCAGUUGUGUUUCCAUGGGGAGGGAGCGAAACAUCCUUCCUCUACUACGUUUGGCAGAAACCCAAGUUCCAGGUCCUGAAUCUCCAUAAACUUCCAAUGAAAUAGCAGUGGAACUACAGAAAAAGCUUUGAAAAGAGGUUUUGAAAAUGGGGAACUCAUUUUCGGGAGAAUUUCAACCAGGAAUUUAGAAGGGGUGCUUUAUUUACAGGUUCUCUCCCUCAGGAUAACCUGACAGAUUCAGAGACUCAAUGGAUAGCUUUCCAACUCUGCAAUGACAUGGAUAUGAUUCAAAAUGAUGCGAGUUUUAAAAAUGAAAGCUUACUUUGGAUGCAAUGGCUGUGCAGAAGCACUGAAUCCUAAAUCUUUUUCCACAGCCUCAAGGAAGGUUCUCUACUGGUUCGGGGGGGGGGGACCAAGGAUGGCCUAGAGAGCCCUUCACAUCUUCUUACAGCCCUGAGACAACUUGAUCCUGCCAUCCAAGGGCCCGAGGAGUUUGAAGGUGUUGGUUUGGGGGCACAGGGGAGCUAGUGAGGUGCAAACAGACCUUAAGUAGGGGAUGGAGAAGAAACUCAUCUUUGUUUGCAUUUUAAUGCAAACUACCUAAUUUGCACUUUUGAAACAAAUAUGUGAACUGGAACAUGGCUGUCCUUUGAAAUUUGCACUUGUUUGAAUUUUGAGAUGCAGUUCUCCAACCAAGCUAUAUGUACAAAACUGCAUAUGCUAGGUGGAAGUGUGCAGUAAAAAUGCUUAUAUUAGUAGUAAAAAAACCAUAUACAAAAAAACCAUUUUAUUAUGGAAAAAUGCUCGGGGAAAUGUAUAUACAGUAUUAGUCAAAACUGCAUACCAAAAUGUGUGUAUUUUGAGAAAUUUGCAUUAAAAAGCUGGUGAAGUUUCAAAAGGAGUUAUUUUUUAAAAUACAAAACAAAACUGCAAAUUCCUAUGGAAAUGUGGAUAACUGAAUUUAACAUUGGAAAAAUGAGAAACUUUGAAAGCCAAAAUUGGCAGAGUCAUCCGUUCCUACUUUAGGCUUGUGGGAUCUACUGGUUUGUUUGUUUGUUUGUUUGUUUGUUUGUUUGUUUGUUUUUAAUAGAGCCCUAAAAUCCAUCAACUAGAGCAUGAUACAAAAGACACACACUUACAAUUAAAGUAUUCUGAUCCCAGAAAUUUAUUUUGAGUACAAGAACUGUAUAGAGCUCAUAUGUUCCUGGUUUCCGCUCCUGGUUUCCCCAAGCUUUCUUCAUUUUAGCAGUAUAGUUUUAGGAUAGGGAGAGGCAUUUUGCUGCUUUUACUAAACAACUGAGAGUCAGAAAUCCUUGAUCUACUGCUAAUCACCCAGAGAUCUACCAUUAGAUCUAGACCUGCUUCUUCCCACUCCUGCUCUAGGUCACUGGUACCCAUGGGAGUGUCAUGUGUACACCUUUAUGUUGGCUUAGUUUAGGUAUAACUGAUGGAGUAUUAAUGUUAAAGGGAAACCUUUGCCAGAGUAGUAAGUUUGCUGCAGAUGCUUAGAUUAAAAAUAAAAAGAGAUGGGGGAAGAACUUAAGUGUCUGGGGGAAACCCCCCAGCCCAGGAAGGCUAAUAUAGUCAAGCUAAGGGAGUAUGAAAUGAUGGAGAGAGGGUAAUAGAAAAUACAACAUUGAAAAGCUAGAAAACGAAAAAGCAACGAAGGCAAGAACGAGGUGGAUGUCUUCAGUGCAAAGCAGAAAAGGAAGCCAGUGAAGAAAACUCAAAAUAUGUGCUCAGGCAAUUGACACAAGCAAGCAGACUCAGUCCUCUAAUCUUUUCUAAGCUCUAGCUUGCAGUUUUCAAAGCUGGCUAGCUAACCACUCAGCCUUCAUUCAUUUCAAUAGGAAUUGCGUGUCUAACACCCUCUGCAAGCUGGAGAAUCCCAGCCCACAGCUAUGGCUUUCACACUCAUUGAUGUUCAGCUGAAUGUUUCCUUAGCCACCUCUAGCAAGCCUUUCUUCACCAUCUUCUGCACUGAUCUAAUAAGCAUGUGAUUCUGUAUGAACUUACUUCAUCUCGCAAGUUUCAAAGGCAAACGUGCUUCUCCCAAGCCAGAGAGAGACUUCCCACCUCAACCAAACAAUCUCCUCCCUUUAUUGGCCUCUCUGUAUCAUUGAUUUUGUCCUUGAUCCUGAUUCCCAAACGUCCCAUCUGCUGUAGCCUUCAAAUCUAUGCAAUGCUGCUCUCUUCUGCCGCUGCCAGCAUGAGAUCCUCCUGCAUACUGGGCAUUAAUCUUGCAUCACAAAGCUAAAUACAUAAUGCAAAUUCUGUUAAAAGUAAUAGGACAAUCCCAGGUAUAUCACAAUAUCACAGUAUCACAACCAGGAAAAAAGCCAACCGGGCUCAAAUUUGUGGGAAGCAUAUCAUGGGACUUUUGAGAAAUAUACAUAUUUAGCACACUCCACAUUCCAUUUACAUGGACCUAGUGCACCUUUUUUCAACUGUUAAUUAUUAAAGGUUUUUUUCCUGAAGUGGUUUUCUAGAAGCAUUUACCCGAAACGUGAGAAAUCUUAUGCCAGAGGCUUCUCCUGUCCCCAAACUACUUGAGAAGCACAGCCAAUCCCGGUUUUGCCAAAUAGUUUUUAAGUUCACCAUAGGUAUUAGUGCAUGUUUCCAUAAAAUUGUGGGCUGGAAAGUUGCUUUUUUCCAAGAAAAUUGAAAAGUAGGAUUCCAAGAUUACACAAGCCAUAUAAAAAUCCCACAUGAGCUUUAGGUCUACCUCAACUUAGAUGCCCUGUGCUGAGGAAAGAAAGUGUUUAGGUCAAUGUUUCCCAAACUUGGGUUUCCAGCUGCUUUUGGACUACAAUUCCCAUCAUCCCUGAUCACUGGUCUUGCUAGCUAGGAGUGAUGGGAGUUGCAGACCAAAAACAAGUUGGGACCCACUGAUUUAGGUGAAAUUCCAUCAUCUUCUUUUUGUUGUUGCUGCUGAGUAGGGUGUCAGAGGACCAGAAGUCACAGUUCCUCUUCAUCAGGUGAUGGAGAUGAGGACUGUGAACCUGAAGGGGAAGGGCACAGAGGGCGAGCUGUACCUGCUCCUACCCCUAUCCAAGGGCUCAGUUUCAUUUUGCUCCUUGCUGGGGCAACCUCAGAGCCCUGUGUCCCCCAGAGCACUCCCUGUGCCUUGCAUCCAGCCUUAAACCUGCCUUACCUUUUCUUACGCCCCACCUGAGCUUUGCCUUGCCACCCCACAGGAUUUAGACAGGUUCAGUCUCACAUUCAGGGCUUCCAAAC
ensembl:lncRNA